CCUGCACUCUAAGACCAGCAGGGGUGAUGGUUGCAACCUGGACCUUGGACGAGGGGUGGUGGCUGGGGGUGGCCUGGCUGAGGGUCAGCCUUGUAGGACUUUCAUCGACCCAGGCCAGUUAGCACUCUGUUCGGGUCAGAGACAGGGGAAGGAACACCCUUCCUGGGUGCCGGAGCACAGCUCAGGAGGCGGUCAGGCUCUGUCCAGGGACCAGGACAGGGCCCUGUUGCCAACCUGAAUGGCCUUGGCUUGUUCUCAUGACCGUUGCAGACUCAGUUUCCCCACUGAGACGCUGGACUGGACCCGGCUAGGUCUGUUCAGGGCCGGUCUGAGUUCCCAGUCUCCGUCAGAGCACCAGGAACAGAGCCACAGUGGGCUGGGAAUCCUGGUGGACACUGCUCUGGGGCCAGGGCUGCCCGACCCACGACCCUCCCAGACCCACCAAUCCCAAUGAGAACAGUGGGGACUUGCCCGUCUGUCCUCCUGGCCCACCUGGCCUUCUCCACAGCCCUCCCCACCUGCCAGUAUGUCGGGGGUGUCCACCAGCUGCCCACUGUUGGGCAGAAGCCGAGGAGGGAUGGGAGAGGCUCUGCGUGGGGACCUAACAACAGGAGGGCCAUGCCCACACCACCUCUGACCCACCGAGAGGACGGAGUGCCCUGCCCAGCCUGGGAGCCUGGCCCCGUCACCUCCACGCAGUGUUGGCAUGGCGGCUGACUGAGUGGGCAGUGUGCUGACCACUGUCCCCACACCGUGUAUACGUCCUCGCUGAUGGAUAGGAAUGACCGCUUCCCCUGUGGAGAUGAGCAGACUGAGGUGAACAGCCCCCGGCUCGGGUCCCCCACUCAUGCCUAGACAUCUCCAGAUAGUUUUUGAGGGCUGAGUUUAUCCCAUCGAGAUUUUAUUUUUCUAUGAAGGACCUUUAACUUUUUAAAAGACCUCCCACCAGAUGUCCUUGUGAUUCACGAAGAUGGAAUGUUGACAGCCCUGACAAAAAGAGGGAGGCAUCCCAGGGGAGUCCAGGUCCUUUCGGAGCAAAGAGGCCCCCCACCUGUGACCCCAGGGCAGGCGUGACCAGCCAGGCACCAAGCCGCGGGACAAACGUGGCAGGACCCUGGACCAGGAGGGGACCCAGGGACACUCAGGCCAGACCUCCCACUGAAGUGACAGCCCGGGCUCUCAGACCCGUUCCCAGACCACACUCCAGGGCGGCCACAGCCUCAAGGAACACAGUAAGCUUGUCAAAGAGACACAGAAAAAGGAUUGCAGGCGUGCCGGUGAGCAGGCGGCUGGCGAGUGGACGUGAGUGUGAGGGUGUGAGGGCGUGCAGGUGGCUGGUGAGCGGAGGUGCGUGUGUGGGCAUGCCCGUGUGCGGGUGUGCCCGUGUGCGGAGGUGCGUGUGCGGGUGUGCAGGAGUGCAGGUAGGAACCCAGGCUCAGGAGGAAGGCCAUGAGCUUCCCUCGGCCAAGAAGUGUCGGCCCAAGAGCCACUGUGUGAGGUGAAGCAGCAGCGGUCCUCUGAGUGGCCUUCUCUCUGUGUCGUUGAAGUCUGGCAGAGUAAGGUGCAGCUGCCUGUGUGGACCAGGAGGGUAUCCCUCCAGGGUAGUUUUUGCACUAAGGCCGCCGGACCCUGAAGUUUUAGGGCACUGUUCCAUGCCUUCCUCAUGGGAACUGAGGCUGUCAAUCCCAAGACGCACCGGGAGGAGGACGAACCCUCUCUCGGCCAGGCAGCCCCCGAGGCCGGGUGGUCUUGGCCAGGGCUGCUGCUCACCACCCUCCCCAUCCAGGCUUCCUUCUGUGGUACCAAGGCCCAGAACCAGCCCCCACGCCCCAGCCUCCCCUACAGCCAGCAUGGCCACAUGACCAAGCUGUCGUGGGUGGGAGUGCUGAGCAAACCUCCAGAGGUGUCCAGGAGCCGGAGCGUCCCUCUUCCCACCCCUUCUCCUUUCUGCUGGCUGGAAGGUGACAUCAGAGCCUGCAGCGGAAGCCCCAUCUCAGACCAUAGCGUGCACCAAGGAGGUUGUACAGGACACCGAGGAGCACGGUCCUAUGCCUGGGUCACUAGAGCGUUUGGGGAGUAAGAAGUAACCGUCUUGUUUGAUGGGCUGUCCAUUCCCCUCCAGCUGGCCAACGGUCACCCCAACCUGCCCAGCCUUGCCUUCAUAUGGACAUGCAGAGAAUUGAGGCUGGGGGUCUCUCAUCACAUCCAUCUGCCUCAGGACCAAGGGCUUGGAUGCAGGUGGGGGGUAAUUAUUCAGAGGGGACCCAGGGGAAAAAAGAGCCUCCGCAGCUCCUGGAUACUCGAGAGAGUUCGGUUCUUCCAGAAGCAGUAAAAUCAUUAAGGAGAAUAAAUGUUCCAAGUUGAGACUGAAGGAGAGGGGUCUGGGUUUGACCGGGAUGCUGUAAAAUCUUGUCACGAGAGGGAGAGCAGACUUGUUAGCUGCCUGACCACCACUGCCCCCCGCAGAACCAGUCGCCAGGGGACAGAGCUACCAGGAAGAGCGUCAUUUCAAAGCCCCAUAAUUUGUGCACAUUUAAUACAUCUGUAAACUUUCUAAUUGGAAAAAUUACAUUGUAAAUGGCUGGUCUGUAAAUGCUCAGGGGAGAUGCACCCUGGUGUUUGGAGGGAUGACCAGGCCCACAAGGGAAGCACACACCCCAUGCCUCUCCUAUGCAGCUCCAGCCGCAAGGCCGCCCAGGGCCUGCCCCGUGGGCCCAGCAGGACUCCACGUCUCGAUGUGAAGCUUUUCUAUCAUUUCAACAUAUUUAAAACUUAGAAAUAAAUUUGAGAAUUUUACAAUUACAUUAUAACUUCCUUUUGGAUUAUUCAUCAUUUGGAAGCGUGUUUUUUCAUUUGCAAACAUGCAGAGAUUUCUUGUGUGAUUUUUGCUAUUGGUUCCUGACUCAGGAACCGUGAGAAAAGCCAGUUGAUAGACGGGGAAUUCACUGACACCUGUCUUACGGCCCAGCAGAAGGUGCCAGGUUCCUACAGAGGGCGGGGUCCUCCUAGACAGUCUUCACUAGUUCUCUCACAUCCUCCCUGACUACUUUGCCAUUUCGUUGAGGCGUAAUUGACGAUGGCACAGUGUGUUUACAGCAUGCGACAAGAAAGGCGUGGUGAGACCAUCAGCCCAGCAGGGCCCCUCACACACCCCUCACCUCCCGUAGCUAUGUAUUCCCUUGGGGUGAGGACAUGUAAGAGUACUGCCCCACCAGCCACUACUCAUCCACUUUCUGCUUGUCUGAGUUGUUCUAGAUCCACCAAAAGUGAGACCACGCAGCAUUUGUCUUAUUUCACUUGACCGUGUCUCCAGGUUCAUCCACGUUGUACAAAUGACAGGCUUUCCUUCUGUUAAGGAGGACUGACUCCAUGUCUUGGCCCUUGGGAACAAUCUCACCAUGGACCUGAGCACACAGAGAUCUCUCUGACACACUGAUGCAUUUCCUUUGGAUAGGAAACUUAGACAACCUGCAUUUGUCAACCUGUUUCAAGCUUGCUGGAACCUCUAUGGUCUUUGCUCCCUGGCUUCUGCAAGGAAAUCCAUGCACCAGUCCACUUAUCAGAGGGAUUCUGGGCAGGCCAGCUGGCGGAUCCAUGGACAGGCACACUGCUUGGAGUCCUGAGGUCACUGGGUGGGUGGACCUGGAGGCUGGGUCCUCUGGGGUGGACCUGGAGAUUCGUUCCACUGGAGUAGGCCUGUUGACUGGGUCUGCAGUGGGGAGCGGUACCUGGAAACUGUCUGUGGGGCUGGCCUGAUUCCUAGGUCCAUGGAUCCAAACUUUCCCUGGGGUGAGCUUUGAGCCUGAGUCCACAGGGCAUGGCCUGGCACUGGGUGGGCCUUGGGCUUGGUUCCACAGGCAUGAGCCUGGUCCUGAGUCCACAGGGGCCACCCUGAUGCCAGGGUUCACUCAGGUAGGCCUGGGGUCAGAGAAGCUAAAUUAGUGGAGGUCAGCCUGGUACUGGGGCUGCAAGAGCCGGCCUGGCAGGGAUGACCUGGUGUCUGAGUCUCCUGGGUCCUGAGUCUACAUGGGCCAGCCUGGAUCCUGGGCCUUGACCCUGGAUCCACUAUGGGGAUUCUUAAUGUCGACUGCUGCACAGCACUAGAGAACUAAUGGUCAUCAGCCAAUAUCCUUCCCCACUUCCAACCAACCAAGGGUUCAGUGGCCCGAGCACACCGUGUUGUGCAUCACACCCCCACCGAGUUCGUGAUACUGUUGGCACAUGCCUGGAUGUACCUGAGUUGCACCAGGUAAAGCCCAUUCAACAUCCACUGUCAGCGUUGGCUCUGACCCCCCCCCCCCACGUUGGCCUAACCAGUCAGCACAACUGCACUUCCCUCAGGUAGAUAGUCUGUUGAGCUGAACUUUCCAUUUCUUGCUCGUUUGUCUAAAAAGCCUUUAUAUUGCCUUUGUUUUUGAAAAUCAUUCUUUCCUCCGUGUAAACUUCUGGGUUGACACUUGGAGGAUGCAGUCCUGUUGUCUUCCAGAGGCCAUGGCUGCAGCGGAGCGUCCCUGUGGACUGGUUUCAGUCGGGGUGACCUUUUGCUCUCUGGCUGCUCUCAGAACUGUCUUCAGUGCCCUGCGGCUUCACUAGGACGGCUCAGGAUCUGCAUUUCUAUUUGCCCUUCCUGGCAUUCUUGAAUCUCUGCACUCUGCACUCCGUCACUCUUCCUGGAGGACAGCCAGCCAGUGUCCUUGGAUUCCAGCUCUUCCACUCUGCCUCCGCCUGGAGUCUGUGGGAGCUCCAAGCCCUCCUCCUCGCACCCCCUUGAUCUCUGCAGAGUCAGGGGUUUCAUCAGUACCAUUUUCCAGUUCAGUAAUUUGGUUGGGGAGGGGGAGUACUGGGGAUGGAACCCAGGGGUGCUUCACCACUGAGCCACAUCCCCAGCCCUUUUUGAGACAGGCUCUUGCUAAGUUGCUGAUGGUCUCACUGAAUUGCUGAGACUGUCCUCAAACUUGCAAUCCUCCUGCCUCAGCCUCCCAAGCCACUGAGUUACAGGCGUGCAUUACCAUGCCGGCCAGGUCAAUAAAUCUUUCUUUGGUUGUUUCUAACCUGAGAUUAAGCCCGUACACUGAGAUGUAAACGUCCGUGGUGUAGAAGAGCUGUCUGGGAAGGAAAAUGGCCCUGAGAGUUCACUGUGAGUGGCCUGGACAGAGGCUGGCUGGGGCGGGGAGGGCUGUCAGCGGCACAGAACAGCCGGAGGCAUGCCUGCAGCCUCACCUGGGUGAUCUGGGUGGGACGAAGCUGCUCACUUGCAUCCUGGAAACUGUAGGUGUCCCCUGAUUUCCUCCAGUGUGUCAUGUCACUAGGCAAUGCUGAAGGCCAGCUUGCUGCUUCUGCUCCCAAGCAGCUCUGUGCCUGGACGCCUGUGGGUCCCCUCUACCUCCACACCCCAGGGCUGACCACGGGGCGUGAACUGACCCUGGGCCUCUCGUCGUUUACUUCUGGAAACUUGAAAGUGCUCCUUGAAGGUUUGUCCUGCCUGUGACUUUGGGUUUCUUCUCCAGACACAUUAACUACUGCUCGGCAAGGUGGGAGCUCCCUGAGCAGGGCAACCCCGGCCCCUGGCCCCUGGCCUCUGCAGUCCUGGCCCUGAUGCCCAGGGAGUUGGACGCCCAGGCCCAGCCCCAGGGCCCAGCCCCCACAGCCACCCUGGACUCAGCCCCAGGGCCUUUCUACCCAUUCUGCCAGCAUCACCAUGCACGUUGUGUACCUCUGUGAUGUGUGGAGUCCUAGUCGGGGACAGUGGUAGAGGGGCCCCCACGCCAGCUGGGCCUGGCUGCGCCUGGGCAGUCCUGCUCGGUGUCGAGGCCUGGGUGAGGCAGCCAAGUGACGGGUAAAUGACAGAGUGACAAGCACACAGCUGGUACCUUUCCAACAGUUAAUAAAGGAGAAGCCCAGAGUGGGCUGGGUGGGAACUACUCGCUCCCACACGAAUAGAUGUCCACCCUCCAGAGCGUCAGGGCGGGGGCGAGCGCGAGGGCGCGGGGACACAGGGGAAACCAGAGCCUCCUCAGGCCACCCUGCCCCUGCGUGAGGCUGGGUUUCUGCACCAUACCAGUCGAUUCAAGAGUGACUCUUGGUGGCCACAGGCGCCCACCAUAGCUGGCCUGGGAGGGCAGGUGCUGGCAGCAAGGAAGAAGGGCCACUGUGAACAGUGGCUGGAGCGGCCCCGCCCUCCUGCCCGCUGCCCCGUCCUUGGGCUGAGCCCCUACAACCCAGGCUUCAGCCCAGCCCCCGAGCUGCUGGUGGUCUCGCCAUCAGUCCCAGGCGAGGCUGCUGACCGCCCACCUGGGGCCACAAGCUCAUCCCUGGCCCAGCUGAGGAGGCCAGGGUGUCCUUCAUGGGUACAGGGAGCAGGAAGGUGCGGGCUGCUCACGGGCAGGCGAAACCCAGAGGAGUCCUCUUGGGGAAGGCCUCAGAGGGGCGUUCAGGUUCUGCCUGUGGGGAGGACACUCUGUUCCAGUGAGGGGCCAGCAGGGGCCGCUGGAGCCUGGACGUGUGACACGAGGGCGUGUGCACUGCGAGGUGUGAACAGGCUGAACUGUGCACACCACAGUCCGUGUGUGGAAGCCCCACUCCCAGCACACCUCAGGUGCAAGUCCUCAAGGAGGGGCAGUUAAGGAGGCCGAGGCUAGACUCCAACAAGACUGGGUUCUCCUGGGGAGGGACGCAGCAAGGAGACGCCAGCGAGGACACGGCGAGAGGGAGCCCUCUGCCAGACCCACGCACCCUGACCUUGGACUUGGGCCUCCAGAACCCAGAGGAACGAGGCUUCCUGCUGAGGCUGGAGCCUGGAGCGGCCACCGCAGCCCAGCCGACCAAGACGUUGCACAGAGGCAAUGUACAGGGGGCCACUGGGAGACUGGACCCGCCUCUGAACCCGUGGUUAGGGAGGGACAGCUGCUCAGGCUGGGGUUCCUGUGACCCAGGGAACAGGCUGGACGGGCCAAGGGAAGACCCUCCCCUGGUUUGCAACAAGAACUGACACCUGCUGAGCCCCCGGGCUCACUCAGUGACCAUGAGCUAGGCCACAGCAAGGGCUGCUGGGUGCCCACCCUCUGGCCUCGCUGCCAUCUCCUUAGUAACAGGACCCCAUGUUCAAGCUGGGUGCUCAGCUUGGACUCUGCGUUUUCCAGUCACACCAGAGCCAGGAGUGACCCUGUCAUCAGGCACCGGCUACAGAGCCAUAGAGACCUCUGCUUCCUCCCAGAGCCCCACCUGCAGGAGCUCCAGCAGCCAUGAUGGACCACGAGGCCACUCCCACAGGACUCGCCUGGGUGAGGGAGCACUACUUUCACUCCAGAAAAAAGCAAGGCCGGGAGGUAAGGAGCAGGCCGGAGGUCUGAAUCCCAUCCUCACGUGCAUGAGGCCACCUGGUGGGCUCCACAGGACACUGCACCAGCUGGAGAGGUGCUGGCGGGCCCCCAGGUUCAGGCCAGGCAGACCCUGCUGGACUGGGGAGGAAGCCGGCCACUCCCUCCUCCCCCAGGCACAAAAGGCUAAAAACCACUGCAGAA